rnacentral:tRNA from 1 species
AUCGACGACAUCAGCCUGCUGAUGAGCUCCCACACGAAUUGCUUGAUUCAUUGUCGAAGACGAUCAAGACCCUAUAUAGGUCUGUAGCUCAGUUGGCUAGAGCGCACCCCUGAUAAGGGUGAGGUCGGCAGUUCAAAUCUGCCCAGACCUACCAAUAUGCGGGGCCAUAGCUCAGCUGGGAGAGCGCCUGCCUUGCACGCAGGAGGUCAGCGGUUCGAUCCCGCUUGGCUCCACCACUUGCUGUACCUUGAUCAAACUCAGAAAUGAGCAUUCGCUUCGAAUGUUGAUUUCUGACUUUUGUCAGAUCGUUCUUUAAAAAUUCGGAUAUGUGAUAGAUAUAGACUGAACACCAGUUUCACUGCUGGUGGAUCAGGCUAAGGUAAAAUUUGUGAGUUCUCACGAAUUUUCGGCGAAUGUCGUCUUCACAGUAUAACCAGAUUGCUUGGGGUUAUAUGGU